rnacentral:rRNA from 1 species
UACGUAGGGUGCGAGCGUUGUCCGGAAUUACUGGGCGUAAAGCGUGCGCAGGCGGUUUUGUAAGUUUGUCGUGAAAUCCCCGGGCUCAACCUGGGAAUGGCGAUGAAGACUGCAAGGCUAGAAUCUGGCAGAGGGGGGUAGAAUUCCACGUGUAGCAGUGAAAUGCGUAGAGAUGUGGAGGAACACCGAUGGCGAAGGCGGCAUCCUGGACCGGUAUUGACGGCUGAGGCGCGAAAGCCAGGGGA